rnacentral:rRNA from 1 species
AAAGCUAUUUAGGUAGCGCCUCGUGAAUUCAUCUCCGGGGGUAGAGCACUGUUUCGGCAAGGGGGUCAUCCCGACUUACCAACCCGAUGCAAACUGCGAAUACCGGAGAAUGUUAUCACGGGAGACACACGGCGGGUGCUAACGUCCGUCGUGAAGAGGGAAACAACCCAGACCGCCAGCUAAGGUCCCAAAGUCAUGGUUAAGUGGGAAACGAUGUGGGAAGGCCCAGACAGCCAGGAUGUUGGCUUAGAAGCAGCCAUCAUUUAAAGAAAGCGUAAUAGCUCACUGGUCGAGUCGGCCUGCGCGGAAGAUGUAACGGGGCUAAACCAUGCACCGAAGCUGCGGCAGCGACGCUUAUGCGUUGUUGGGUAGGGGAGCGUUCUGUAAGCCUGUGAAGGUGUGCUGUGAGGUAUGCUGGAGGUAUCAGAAGUGCGAAUGCUGACAUAAGUAACGAUAAAGCGGGUGAAAAGCCCGCUCGCCGGAAGACCAAGGGUUCCUGUCCAACGUUAAUCGGGGCAGGGUGAGUCGACCCCUAAGGCGAGGCCGAAAGGCGUAGUCGAUGGGAAACAGGUUAAUAUUCCUGUACUUGGUGUUACUGCGAAGGGGGGACGGAGAAGGCUAUGUUGGCCGGGCGACGGUUGUCCCGGUUUAAGCGUGUAGGCUGGUUUUCCAGGCAAAUCCGGAAAAUCAAGGCCGAGGCGUGAUGACGAGGCACUACGGUGCUGAAGCAACAAAUGCCCUGCUUCCAGGAAAAGCCUCUAAGCAUCAGGUAACAUCAAAUCGUACCCCAAACCGACACAGGUGGUCAGGUAGAGAAUACCAAGGCGCUUGAGAGAACUCGGGUGAAGGAACUAGGCAAAAUGGUGCCGUAACUUCGGGAGAAGGCACGCUGAUACGUAGGUGAAGCGACUUGCUCGUGGAGCUGAAAUCAGUCGAAGAUACCAGCUGGCUGCAACUGUUUAUUAAAAACACAGCACUGUGCAAACACGAAAGUGGACGUAUACGGUGUGACGCCUGCCCGGUGCCGGAAGGUUAAUUGAUGGGGUUAGCGCAAGCGAAGCUCUUGAUCGAAGCCCCGGUAAACGGCGGCCGUAACUAUAACGGUCCUAAGGUAGCGAAAUUCCUUGUCGGGUAAGUUCCGACCUGCACGAAUGGCGUAAUGAUGGCCAGGCUGUCUCCACCCGAGACUCAGUGAAAUUGAACUCGCUGUGAAGAUGCAGUGUACCCGCGGCAAGACGGAAAGACCCCGUGAACCUUUACUAUAGCUUGACACUGAACAUUGAGCCUUGAUGUGUAGGAUAGGUGGGAGGCUUUGAAGUGUGGACGCCAGUCUGCAUGGAGCCGACCUUGAAAUACCACCCUUUAAUGUUUGAUGUUCUAACGUGGACCCGUGAUCCGGGUUGCGGACAGUGUCUGGUGGGUAGUUUGACUGGGGCGGUCUCCUCCUAAAGAGUAACGGAGGAGCACGAAGGUUGGCUAAUCCUGGUCGGACAUCAGGAGGUUAGUGCAAUGGCAUAAGCCAGCUUGACUGCGAGCGUGACGGCGCGAGCAGGUGCGAAAGCAGGUCAUAGUGAUCCGGUGGUUCUGAAUGGAAGGGCCAUCGCUCAACGGAUAAAAGGUACUCCGGGGAUAACAGGCUGAUACCGCCCAAGAGUUCAUAUCGACGGCGGUGUUUGGCACCUCGAUGUCGGCUCAUCACAUCCUGGGGCUGAAGUAGGUCCCAAGGGUAUGGCUGUUCGCCAUUUAAAGUGGUACGCGAGCUGGGUUUAGAACGUCGUGAGACAGUUCGGUCCCUAUCUGCCGUGGGCGCUGGAGAACUGAGGGGGGCUGCUCCUAGUACGAGAGGACCGGAGUGGACGCAUCACUGGUGUUCGGGUUGUCAUGCCAAUGGCACUGCCCGGUAGCUAAAUGCGGAAGAGAUAAGUGCUGAAAGCAUCUAAGCACGAAACUUGCCCCGAGAUGAGUUCUCCCUGACCCUUUAAGGGUCCUGAAGGAACGUUGAAGACGACGACGUUGAUAGGCCGGGUGUGUAAGCGCAGCGAUGCGUUGAGCUAACCGGUACUAAUGAACCGUGAGGCUUAACCUUACAACGCCGAAG